GAAUGGGGGAUGUCCCAGCGGCCCUGCUCCCCCUUCUCCUCCUCGGGGGGCUGCCCCACAUGUGUGGGGCAGUGCCGGUGCCUGGGGCCGCAGCUCACGCAGACGCUGGCAGGGCAGACCCGCAAGCUUCAGGCACAGGCAAGUCCCGGGUGGCUGUGGGGUGGGGAGGACACCCCUGGCUCCCCCAGCAUGGAGCGGGCUCGUACCCCGGCUCAGCCCCUUCUCCCCAAACCAGGUGGAGUCCUUCGAGAGCUGGCUCCAUGCAGGGAGCGCGGUGCCGCAGGAGCAGCUCCAGCGGUUCCGGCGGCUGAAGGCGGCGCAGGACGCGCUGGAGCGGGCGUACCUGCGGGCACGGGAGGAGCACGGGCAGCAGCAGCAGCACCCCGCAGCCUCGGGGGACUUCGACCCGGAGCGCGCGGUGGAAGGGGAAAUAUUCUGCCUGGGGAUGCGCCUGGAGGAGCUGAAGGAGCGGCUGGAGCGAGCAGCGCGCCCCCCGGGCUCCCCGCACCCCCAGCUGAGCCCAGCGGUCACCGAGGGUCCCCCCAGCACCCAGGGGACAUCGGGGGACGGCGAGGUGGUGGCAGGGGGGCUGCCCCGGCCCCUCUGGCACAAGCAGCACCGAGCAGAGGAGGACUUUGGGGACCUGCUGGAGCAGUAAGUGCCCCUCAUGG
rnacentral:lncRNA from 1 species